rnacentral:rRNA from 1 species
UACGUAGGGUGCGAGCGUUGUCCGGAAUUACUGGGCGUAAAGAGCUCGUAGGUGGUUUGUCGCGUUGUCCGUGAAAACUCACAGCUUAACUGUGGGCGUGCGGGCGAUACGGGCAGACUGGAGUACUGCAGGGGAGACUGGAAUUCCUGGUGUAGCGGUGGAAUGCGCAGAUAUCAGGAGGAACACCGGUGGCGAAGGCGGGUCUCUGGGCAGUAACUGACGCUGAGGAGCGAAAGCUAGGGGAGCGAACGGG